AUGCCUACAUUUCGUGGUACCUCUAAAUCUAAAGUGAAUUCUCUGAAAGCGAUCAAUCACCGCAAAUAUAAUGAUAAACCGCAUAGCAAGAAAAUUCUAAAAGGAGAAGAUGAACAUGUUACAUGGACUUUGAAUCCGAAAUAUCCUAA